rnacentral:lncRNA from 1 species
AAGUUGCAGGAGCGUUCUGACCUUACAGCCAAGGAAAAGGAAGAACUGAUUGAAGAAUGGCAGCCAGAGCCCCUCGUCCCCCCGGUCUCCAGGAACCAUCCUGCUCUCAACUACAACAUCGUCUCCGGGUGACUGGCCUGCUUCAUUCUGUUUGCAAAGCCUGGGAAAUGUGUGGUAUCCCUGUUAAAUGAACAGGUUGCUUUGAGUAACCACUAUACUUUUCAAAAUUUUCCAGGGAUGGUCUGGGAAAUCUUUUAAACUCUAAUUUGGACUUAUCUUUNUGUUUUCUUUAAAAAGCAAAUUUUUCUUCCCCUAA